rnacentral:rRNA from 1 species
AACGAACGCUGGCGGCAGGCCUAACACAUGCAAGUCGAACGAUAAGCCACCUUCGGGUGGUGGACAGUGGCAGACGGGUGAGUAACGCGUGGGAACGUGCCUUUCGGUUCGGGAUAACCCAGGGAAACUUGGGCUAAUACCGGAUACGCCCUUCGGGGGAAAGAUUCAUUGCCGAAAGAUCGGCCCGCGUCGGAUUAGCUAGUUGGUGGGGUAAUGGCCUACCAAGGCGACGAUCCGUAGCUGGUCUGAGAGGAUGACCAGCCACACUGGGACUGAGACACGGCCCAGACUCCUGCGGGAGGCAGCCGUGGGGAAUAUUGGACAAUGGGCGAAAGCCUGAUCCAGCCAGGCCGCGUUGGUGAAGAAGGCCUUAGGGUUGUAAACCCCUUUCAGCGGGGACGAUAAUGACGGUACCCGCAGAAGAAGUCCCGGCUAACUCCGUGCCAGCCGCCGCCGUAA